CGCGUUGUGCUCCCUCUCUCUCUUUCUCUCUCUCUCUCUGAGCAGCCCUGACUUAACUAGCCAGAGAAAUCUGUUGCGUUUUGUACUGUGGCUACCCACUGUCCCUUGUGGCGCAGGUUUGAGCCCCCCUCAGAGGAGAGACAUGUGGCGAAAGACAGGAGCGGCCACCGCAGGAAGUCACAGCAGGAUCCCCUGAGCUCAAAAACAAAGGAUAACCACCACCGAUCAACGCGGGGACAAGGAGACAUGAGCCCAGGGGAAUAUCAACCAUGUUGACACCAUGGAGAUUGUUCCUCUGCCAGAUGGCACUGAACAUAUUCCAUCACAUCGCAAAAGCCAGUUUAUGCCUUGGUGGUCAAGACAUAUUUGCCAUGGUCCGAGAGAACAGUCCCACUGGAGAGAUCAUAGCCCACCUCAGUAUCAAUGGAGACCCUGGAGCCAGUAGCAUCCGCCUGUGUCUCACAGGAGAAAACGCUGACUGGUUUUACCUUGAAGGCCGAACAAUCCGACUCAACUCGUCGUUUUCAAGGACCUUAGAUCGAGAGGUGCUGGGAUCAGUUCUGAUAGCUGCUUUGACAUGUUAUGAAGAUGAUAUAAUUAGGAGUCGGUAUCGAAUUAUGGUGGAAAUAUUGAAUGAAAAUGACAACAUGCCAUAUUUCCUUGAAGACACCAUUCAACCACGAUAUAUAAGUGAGUUGCUUACUGUAAACUCGAUGGUGUUCACAGUAAAAGCUAGAGACGGCGAUGGAGACACAAUCACUUAUAUGACCGACAAAUCUACAGCUGAUGCCAGCUAUUUUAGGAUUGAUCUGCCCAACAGCGGGAUGGUGAUCCUGGAUAAACCGUUGGACUAUGAGACUAAAACCCAGCUGCAGGAAACGACCACAAAAGAAAAGUACAGCACAACAGCUACAGUCACUGUGAACGUUCUAGACGGUGAUGACCAGUAUCCUCAGUUUCAGCCAUGUGCACCUGUUUAUGAAGAUGGAGAUCACAAUAUCUGCACCAACCCUGUGUACAGUGUUAACAUCAGAGAGACAGAUGAGGAUGCUGUGCUCUAUUUUUCUCCGGGGCCCAUUCAUGCUGAAGAUGGAGACAAAGACAUACUGACUCCUCUAGUCUACAGUAUUCUGUCAGGUGAUGGCAAUGGCAGAUUUACAAUCGACUCUAAAACAGGAGAGAUCUCUCUCAGGCAACGUGUGGAAAACAGACUCCUCACACCUUCAUUCAGGCUCCGCAUAAUGGCUGCGCAGGUGAACGACCCAAAGAAAUAUUCGGUGGCGACGGCACUGGUGCAUGUGGUGUCAGAGAACCGAUUUCCUCCAUUCUUCAACAAGACCGUCUACAAAGGGUUCCUCAUUGAGAGCUCCAGCCCUGCCACACUGGUCACUACCUACGGGAACCAAGUCCUGGUAGUCCAGGCCAUCGACAGGGACUUCAGAGAUGGAAUAAAUCCAAAAAUCCAUUACACAAUGCAGCCCUUGAUGGGUAGCAAUAAACUGUACCACAUUACCCAGGAUGGCAUUGUGAUUGCAAAGACGGACCGACUCAGAGCAUUCGACCGACACAUCCUGGAGGUGAUUGCAACAGAUGAAGAGUCAGGUGAAACAGCCCAUGCUUCAGUGGAUAUUGAAGUGCUGCAGAGGGGACAACCAGUUCCCAGAAGUCCAUUCGGUGAGGAACGUCUGUUUGGAGAUAUGAACGCAGGGAUGGCCGGCGGCAUCGCUGCCCUUGUUCUGCUAGUGGCUGUGACAGUACUAUUUCUCUUCCUCUGGCUGGCCAAGAGACGGAGAGAGAGACGGGAUCCAGCAGACAGGGGCGCAGUAGCUCUUGGGAAACACCCAAAUGUGAGCUUAAGAUGGUUUCAGCAGGUCAAUUCAGGACGUCCCAUAUCGCUCAUAGAGGAUGCCUCCUACCACAACGAGGCAUUCAUUGACCAUGAAUACCCCAGUGAUUUGUACACCAAAACAGAUGACAUGCUUCCUGCAUCAAUCAGGGCAUAUGAGUCUGAAAGGCCCACGGCACUGCAAGACAUGCUGCCCAUCCUGGUGCUUCCAGAAAUAAUACCUGCAAACACCUCAUCUUCAGCUCUGACCAAUGGGAAAGCAUUUGGAAAAUCAGUCUCUUUUAAAGACGACGUAGGAGCAGUGGAGGAGACUUUGCCCAAAAAUGAAGGACACAUUGUAGUUGUAUGUAAUCAAAUAGAAACCAGAGCGGAUAUUUUGAUGCCUGUCAUGCAGCAGGACACUUUUGCUACCGCUACAGCAGAAAAUCCUGCAGAAAAGUUUGACGUUUGUUGCCCAGAUACUUCUGUAAGACCCAGAGAGGAAUGUAUCUUCGCUCAUGCUAAUGAGGAUGAUGAAGAUGACAAUGAUCCAUACAAGAACAUGGCCUCUGUUAUUUACAGCAGUGAUGAAGACACGGGGGACGAUGAGCCAAAUGAUUUAAGGCACUAUUACAAACAUGGGCAAAACCAGUUUACAAUUGACCACAUGAAGGCCAUCGGAUUACAAAUCGAGGAUUCGGAUGAAUCGCAAGCCUGAUUCGUCAAGCUCAUUUGAACAAGUCGCUUUCAUGAAAAGCCAAAUCCUUACAAGUUUAAACAAAGCAAAAAUAGCAACAAACAAACAAAAAACAGGCUCAUUAAAUAGGACAUAAAUAUGUAUUAUCAAACUCUACAGUUGGUUGAGCACCUGCUUUUCAAAUUUUUUUUUUAUAUUCCAUGUUUUCCUCAUGUUGAACUGGUACAGAAAUACACAGACAAUACAGUGCACCUGAUCAGCCUUAAUUAAGAAUCAGUUUAAAUGAAGAUUUGAUGACUGUGUCUUUGAAAAAUUAAGAUCUUAUAGUCUGUUUUUGAAUAUUUCAUCCACCUCUAAUGUAUUUUUAAGAUAUUCUGACUGAAAUUGUGGUCAAACCCUGAAAAUGAAGUAUGUAUUGUAACUAAAUGAUUUUUUUUAGACUUUAAUGUUCUGAUUACUUAUGUCUGCAGUCACUUGUUGAGUUAAAAAUACUCAAACACAAAAGGUUGAAAUAAACUGUAAUUUUCCAGUUAGCAUUUAAAUAAUAAAUACAAGUUGGAGAACACAAUACUCUGUGCCAAAACUGAUGGAUUGCCAUGUUUUACUUAAACAAAAGCUAAAUGCUGUUGAAUAGUCUGCUGCAACAUAUUGCAUUUGUUGUUUUGAAUUUGAUGAUUCGAUGAUAUUCAGGUGCUUCAGGACUUCUGGAGAUCCUGUGAAAUGGCUCUAUACAUUAUUCUGGAGCUAAAAUAUAAAAUUUCAGAGCAUUUUUCUUUUGGAAAACAUCUUGGAUUCUACACAGUAGAGUCUUUGUUGAGGAGGCAUCAUCACCCAUCGCUCCUCGCCAUGUGUUGUAGGACUAAAUCAGCAGCAUCACAAUCAUAUUUAAGAAAACUCUAUUUCUAGAGGAACAUGCAGUCAAGAUAUCUGUGUCAGGACCAAGAACAUUGUGAGAGACACAUGGAGGUGAACAUACAAAUCUUUGUAAACAGCUGUUUUUGUGGCAUUUUGUGUAAUUCUGGAUAGUUUUGGUUUUGUGUGGAAGGAUACAGGGGAAUACAGUCCUAUGAGCCCUGGUCAUGGCAGCUUAUAUGUUGAAAUAUGUAUGAACUUUUGGAACUUUGUCUGAAGCAGUUAGUUAAGUUAAAAAAACAUAUUCAUUUAAAUGUCACUAUACUGCAUAUACUGUUAAAAAAAACUGAGGU